GACUACUGGGGUAUCUAAUCCCAUUCGCUCCCCUAGCUUUCGUCCAUGAGUGUCAGUUGCGGCCUAGCAGAGCGCUUUCGCCACCGGUGUUCUUCCCAAUCUCUACGCAUUUCACCGCUACACUGGGAAUUCCCUCUGCCCCCACAGCACUCUAGCUGUGUAGUUUCCACUGCCUGUUCAGGGUUGAGCCCUGACCUUUGACAGCAGACUUACACUGCCACCUGCGGACGCUUUACGCCCAAUCAUUCCGGAUAACGCUUGCAUCCUCCGUAUUACCGCGGCUGCUGGCACGGAGUUAGCCGAUGCUGAUUCCUCAGGUACCGUCAUUGUGUUCUUCCCUGAGAAAAGAGGUUUACGACCCAAGAGCCUUCCUCCCUCACGCGGUAUUGCUCCGUCAGGCUUGCGCCCAUUGCGGAAAAUUCCCCACUGCUGCCUCCCGUAGGAGUCUGGGCCGUGUCUCAGUCCCAGUGUGACUGGUCAUCCUCUCAGACCAGUUACUGAUCGGAGCCUUGGUAGGCCUUUACCCUACCAACUAGCUAAUCAGACGCGAGCUCAUCAAAAGGCGGGUUACCCCUUUUCACUUUCUGGCAUAUCUGGUAUUAGCAGCCGUUUCCAGCUGUUGUCCCAGUCCUUUAGGCAGAUUCUCACGCGUUACUCACCCGUCCG
rnacentral:rRNA from 1 species